CAGGAUCUCACACACGAGCUUAGCUGCAAGCUGCGCUGUGUACUUUAGAAAGAAGAAAGUUUUUCAAGGAUAUUGAAAAUGAACCACAGUCGUAAAUGGAGUGUUCCAGGCUGUACAUCGGAAUACUGGCCCAGAGAAAAGUGUUUAGAACGAGUAGAUAUCAGACAAUGGAGCGGGACUUGUGGAUCUAACGCAGCGGCACAGAGGACGUGCCUGCAGGGUUGGGGUGGGAAUCACCAGAGGCCUCACGAUACUUAUGUCACGAUACAACAUUAUUGCGAUUUGAAACACACUGCAACAUUCUGCGAUAUAUUGCAAUGGAUUACCUUUUUUCCAACUUCAAAUUUUUCCCAAUUUCAAAUGAUGUCCCCAAAAGGAAACUUUGUCAACAUCUG